CAGCCGCCACGGUAAUACGUAGGUGGCAAGCGUUGUCCGGAAUUAUUGGGCGUAAAGGGCUCGCAGGCGGUUUCUUAAGUCUGAUGUGAAAGCCCCCGGCUCAACCGGGGGAGGGUCAUUGGAAACUGGGAAACUUGAGUGCAGAAGAGGAGAGUGGAAUUCCACGUGUAGCGGUGAAAUGCGUAGAGAUGUGGAGGAACACCAGUGGCGAAGGCGACUCUCUGGUCUGUAACUGACACUGAGGAGCGAAAGCGUGGGGAGCGAACAGGAUUAGAUACCCGCGUAGUCCCUGUCUCUUAUA
rnacentral:rRNA from 1 species